GGACCAGGACUCCUGCUUACAGGUGCUGCUUGCCACCAGAAACUAAGCCAGAUGCCAGAAGCCACAAGCUCCAAACAAGCCCCCAAGGCCCGGUUUUUGACGAGUCUGCUCCAGUUCAGACUCCAUGCUAACCCUCCAGCACAAAAAAAGGAAGUUCAGCUGUGAGAACCAGACCAAACCAGUCUGAGCCAACAUGGACCCCAGCGAUGACCUUUCAGGACUCUCCCCUCAUUAUGAUACUAAAAGCCACACCCAGGGGUGGGGUUUAACAUGCUAAUUAGACACACGGUGUAGGAAGAAGCACUAAGCAUGACCUGUAAGUGCACAAGCCCCCAUACACAACCCCGCCCGGCCCCCUCCCUUCCCGCCUGUUCAGACAGCACCCUUUUCCCACCAAAGUUUCUUUGAAGUUCUUGCCAGCCCCUCCUGGGGAGCCAGCCUGAGGACCCUUCGUUCACACACCUCCUUUUUGGAGCACAGGCCCCAGUACAGCCUUGCCUGGGACUCCUGGGGGGCCUCUCGUCCGGUUCUCCUGCGCAGCGAGCCCAAGGCUGGCUCAGUAAAUGCUGCGGCUCCCCAGGCACCAGGACGAACCCUCCACCCACGCUGGGCUCUGAGAGCCCCUGGGGAGUCGUACCGAGGGGACUGACGCGUCAAAACCAAAGGGAAGACGGCCUGAAUGUGCGCUCAAGGACUGAGACUCCUGAGUGAACGGAAGGGGCACAGAGAACAGAGAACGACACAGGCGGAGACAGAAAGGAGAACAUCGUCAGCUGCAAGCACUAUGGCUUAAUCACACCGAGGGGCCGAUCCGCUGGCCGACAAGGUCAUGCGAUACAGAACGCUAACGUUCCUUUUUCAGUUACCUAAGUCACUUAGUGAGCCUGCGAGAUCUGCCUUCGGUAGUUCAACCACCACCUGCAAACAGAGCGUGGAAAUGAGUGUCCGGGCGCCAGGGUGCAACCUAAGCACAGAGCCGCUCCAAUCAAGACAGCGUGCGGCAUUCGGUGCUGAAUGCGGACCUGCUCCAGACAAGACUGCUCACUGCCUUGAGAACUGGUAUUUAAAUGUCGGGAAUCCCUUUC